CCCCUGGUGAGAACAAGUGGCUAAAACACGCUCGUCCCGUUGGCCUGGCCACUCCCUGCAGCCGCUCUGGAGUCCUCCUUCCUGAGGGUCUUUAGCUGCGCUGUCCUGGCUGCUUCCGUGUCCUGAAUCCAUGAAAAACAUUCCCUUUCAUGGUCAUUUUGACUUUGGGAGGAGCCAAGCAUCACAGGGUGAUCCGAACUGCUUCAAGGAGUGACAAGAACGGGGCCAGGUAUGGCGGCGCACACCUGUCAUCCGAGCACCCGCGGGAGGCUGAGGCAGGAGGAUCGCUGCGAGUCUGCGGCCAGCCUGGGCAGCAUGGCAACUGUCAAAAGAGGCAAGGGAGGACGUCCAUGUCCGCCAGAGGGGUGGGACUCAGGCGGGGCCCCUUCGCCUCCGCAGGGCAUGAACCGCCAGUACACGCGCCGCGAGGUCUUCUGCGGAAACACCUGCCACGACCUCAGGCGCUUCUGGGAGCGGGAGAUCCGCAAGCAGACGCAGCGCCGCCAGUGGGAGGAGCAGCGCCUGGGCCGCAGCGCCCUGAGGAAGUACGCAGCGCCGUGCGGGCGGGCACUCUGAUCUGAAUGAAUUUUAGAGCGAAGCGCAGCUUCUAGGCGGGUUUUAGUCCCUAGGCAGCGCGGGCAGCAGGUAGGAGUGGCUUCCCUGGGUGGCCCCU
rnacentral:lncRNA from 1 species